UCUGGCACUGCCGGUUCUCACAGGGCAGCGGGAGCUGGCAGCCAGCGGGCCGGCAUGACUCUGACUAAUGGGUGUGGACAGCCCCGGAAGACCAGUCAUGAGAUCAGGCUGCUUGCCCGUCGGGGAGAGGUGAAACUGUCCCCUGACGGCUGCCCAGAUGACUGGCGGCUUUAUCCAGAAGCUUCUCCCAGAAGCAGCCCACGGCGGGUCUGAGGGAGAAGUGGGGAGAGGGCCAACGGCAGGGAAAAUACAACCCAAACCCACACCAAGGCUUGUUUUUUAUUUACCUGCGUGACUCCUGGGCUGAAGAUUGCACAACCGGAUUCCAUCCAGAUGCAGUGUAACAGGUGCCCUGACAGAGGUCUCGGGUGUCAACAGGCUUGCCCCCUGCUCUCCCAAGGACAGCGGAGUUCAUUGGCGCUUCACAAAGAGAAGAGGCUGAUGUGAGGGUACUCAAUUACCUUGCACUGAUUAAAGACAAGCGUUCCCGCCUCUGGGCAGAGAGGAGAAGAAGAGGAAAAAUGAAGCCUAUUAGCAAAGGGGGGCAAUGAGCUUCCUGCUUGUGCGUCGGAGGCCUGCAGAAGGGACUCUGGGGCCACUGGUCUGUCGAUCAGGAAGG